rnacentral:rRNA from 1 species
CAAUAGCGUAUAUUAAAGUUGUUGCGGUUAAAAAGCUCGUAGUUGAAUUUCUGGCGGGCGCGCCGGUCUUCCAAGUGUUGUACUGGGCGCAGUCCGCCAUCCUUGUGGAGAGGGCUCGCAUUGAGUUGCGUGUCGGAUCUGCAUCAUUUACUGUGAAAAAAUUAGAGUGUUUAAAGCAGGCUGUCGCUUGAAUACAUUAGCAUGGAAUAAUAAGAUAGGACUUCGGUCUAUUUUGUUGGUUGCGAACCGAGGUAAUGAUUAAUAGGGAUAGUUGGGGGUAUUCAUAUUUAAUUGUCAGAGGUGAAAUUCUUGGAUUUAUGAAAGAUGAACAACUGCGAAAGCAUUUACCAAGGAUGUUUUCAUUAA